UACGAAGGGGGCUAGCGUUGUUCGGAAUUACUGGGCGUAAAGCGCACGUAGGCGGACAUUUAAGUCAGGGGUGAAAUCCCACGGCUCAACCGUGGAACUGCCUCGGAUACUGGCGGUCUCGAGGGAGGUAGGGCAUGCGGAACUGUGGGUGGAGCGGUGAAAUGCGUUGAUAUCCACAGGAACUCCGGUGGCGAAAGCGGCGUGCUGGACCUCUUCUGACGCUGAGGCGCGAAGCUAGGGGAGCAAACGGG
rnacentral:rRNA from 1 species